CUCUGAGAUUUCGUCCUGCUUCUCAGAAAGGUGGGAGAUUUCAUCUCGCUGUUCAGAAAGGCUCCAGGAUUUUAUCAUGUGACUCAGAAUGGUGUCCACACCAGAAAUCCAAGGCCACAACCUCUAUCUAGAUCUCUCUGCUUAUGGGACCGAGGUCAUUUCUGCAGCGAAGGAAUCCCCAAGAUCACAUUAGACAGUCAAAUAGCCAAGUUUCCACCUGAAAAACCUAUGGAGACUUCUGCCAUGGACAAAUGGCUUCGGCAUGUCCCGCUUCUGAUCGAAAGUUGUUAGAUUUCUCCAUCCUACUCUCAGCUCCUCGAUAAGGAAGAUGAUCUUCCACCAUCAUUCAACACCUGAAAAAUGGAGCCAGAGCCCUGUCUGAGGGACACCUCCAUGUCGCCAGUGCAGUGCGGCAGAAGGCCAUUGGAGAUCAAGCUCAUUUACGGGCAGGUCACCAACUCUUACCUCCAGGGUGAAGG